ACUGUCAGGAAAUUUCUCCUUAAGUUCUAUACAGGAAGAUGAGGGAGAAAUAGGAACAUUUUUGGCUCCUAAAUGUAUAUCUUAUGCAUUGAAGAUACAUUGAUAUGGUGAUCUUAAUAUUCACGGACUGAGAAAAUUCUAUGUUUCAUUUUACGAUAAAAACAGGGUGUUAGCCGUUGAGGUUGUAAAGAGAGGGGCUCAGAGUCAUGUUCAUCACAAUCUGUUCAUUGGGCGGUAAAAGGGCCUUUUUGCUCCCGUGUUUUUAAAAAGUGAAGCCAUUUUUUAAUUGAGUCCAAAUCCUGAUAAUUUUGUUGCAGAAGUAUGGAAAUAACUAUCCUGAAAGGGAGGGUUCCAUUCCUCUAACUGUUCAAUCUGAUCUGGGAUAUUGGGGUUCCCUACUAAUUCAACCUUUCAACACAAGGUAUGUGAAUAUUCUGAACUUUCACAAAACCUGCUUAAAUUUUAUUGAAAAUUAAAACAAAACAGGGCAAAGAAACAAGCACAUACAACUUCUUCUUUUCCCUUCGCACAAACAGCAUUUGAGAAAAUUAAGGAUUUGCUUUUACGUUUUUUGUGGGAGGGGAGUUCAGAGUGGGCUGGUUUUGAAACGGUUGAAAUAAUGGAGAGGUCAGUACGGUAAGCAAGACAUUUUUUUCCCCUCUCCCUCUCCAGGUAGUCCUCGUCUUACAGCUACAAUUGGGACCGGAAGUUCUGCCACUAAGUGAUGUGGUCAUUAACAUCGCAACUUUGAAUGAUUGUUAAAUGAAUGGUCAUAAGACGGAGGGAUACUUGUAUCGUGACUCCAAUAUCCUGUUGUACUUGUUGCAAUGCCUGAAUAUAAUUAGAUGCUUGCACCGAAGAAGAGCUAAGUGUCCUGAGGAUGGACAGAGAGUUGGCAUUUACGCAGCUCAUUGGAGAAGAACAAUGCCAAGAACUUAAAGCCCCCAUCCCCAAAAUCUGAAACAUCCACAGUCCUGCAACAUUUGAAGGACAAUUUUAUCUCCAAUGCGUUAAAGUGCAAUUAUUAUUUUUUAAAAUGUUCCCAUUCUUUUUUUUUUUUAAAUGUGCACAGUGAAGUUUGACACCAUGAUCUCACACCCAAUUAAAAAAGAAGGAAUGAA